UACGUAGGGGGCAAGCGUUGUCCGGAAUCAUUGGGCGUAAAGAGCGUGUAGGCGGCUCGGUAAGUCUGAUGUGAAAGCCCACGGCUCAACCGUGGAGGGUCAUUGGAAACUGGGGAACUUGAGUGCAGAAGAGGAAAGUGGAAUUCCAAGUGUAGCGGUGAAAUGCGUAGAGAUUUGGAGGAACACCAGUGGCGAAGGCGACUUCCUGGCCUGUUCUUGACGCUGAGGCGCGAAAGCUAGGGUAGCAAACGGG
rnacentral:rRNA from 1 species